CGGGGGGGGGGGCAAGCGUUGUUCGGAAUUACUGGGCGUAAAGGGCGCGUAGGCGGGCAGGGAAAGUCUCUCGUGAAAUCCCACGGGCUCAACCGUGGAAUUGCGGGAGAUACUACUUGUCUUGAGUUCGGGAGAGGAGUGUGGAAUUCCCAGUGUAGCGGUGAAAUGCGUAGAUAUUGGGAGGAACACCGGUGGCGAAGGCGGCACUCUGGACCGAUACUGACGCUGAGGCGCGAAAGCUAGGGGAGCAAACGGGAUUAGAUACCCCGGUAGUCCUAGCUGUAAACGCUGAGCACUUGGUGUAGCGGGUAUCGACCCCUGCUGUGCCGAAGCUAACGCAUUAAGUGCUCCGCCUGGGGAGUACGGUCGCAAGGCUG
rnacentral:rRNA from 1 species